rnacentral:rRNA from 1 species
UACGUAGGGUGCAAGCGUUGUCCGGAAUUAUUGGGCGUAAAGAGCUCGUAGGCGGUCUGUCGCGUCUGCUGUGAAAACUCAGGGCUUAACCCUGAGCUUGCAGUGGGUACGGGCAGACUAGAGUGCGGUAGGGGAGACUGGAAUUCCUGGUGUAGCGGUGAAAUGCGCAGAUAUCGGGAAGAACACCGGUGGCGAAGGCGGCUCUCUGGACCUGUCCUGACGCUCAGGCGCGAAAGCUAGGGGAGCGAACAGG